rnacentral:rRNA from 1 species
AUAGUGCUGAUAAUGAUAUGCUUACCAAGGCUAUGACGGGUAUCCGGCCUGAGAGGGUGAACGGACACACUGGAACUGAGACACGGUCCAGACUCCUACGGGAGGCAGCAGUAGGGAAUAUUGCUCAAUGGGGGAAACCCUGAAGCAGCAACGCCGCGUGGAGGAUGAAGGUUUUAGGAUUGUAAACUCCUUUUGUUAGAGAAGAUAAUGACGGUAUCUAACGAAUAAGCACCGGCUAACUCCGUGCCAGCAGCCGCGGUAAUACGGAGGGUGCAAGCGUUACUCGGAAUCACUGGGCGUAAAGAGCGCGUAGGCGGGAUAGUCAGUCAGGUGUGAAAUCCUAUGGCUUAACCAUAGAACUGCAUUUGAAACUACUAUUCUAGAGUGUGGGAGGGUAAGGGGGGGAAUAAG